CGAGGAAUAUUGGUCAAUGGGCGCAAGCCUGAACCAGCCAUGCCGCGUGCAGGAAGACGGUCCUAUGGAUUGUAAACUGCUUUUAUUCGGGAAUAAACCUCCUUACGUGUAGGGAGCUGAAGGUACCGAAUGAAUAAGCACCGGCUAACUCCGUGCCAGCAGCCGCGGUAAUACGGAGGGUGCAAGCGUUAUCCGGAAUCAUUGGGUUUAAAGGGUCCGCAGGCGGUCAUAUAAGUCAGUGGUGAAAGCCUACAGCUCAACUGUAGAACUGCCAUUGAUACUGUAUGACUUGAAUUCGAUCGAAGUGGGCGGAAUAUGACAUGUAGCGGUGAAAUGCUUAGAUAUGUCACAGAACACCGAUUGCGAAGGCAGCUUACUAUGGUGUCAUUGACGCUGAGGCACGAAAGCGUGGGGAUCAAACA
rnacentral:rRNA from 1 species